rnacentral:lncRNA from 1 species
AUCUCAUUUAAUCAGAUCCCAGGGGCCCUGAAAGAGGUCCUGGGACUUUCAAACUGCUCAACUUCUGUCUGGAUGCCAAUCACGUACCAGGAGAGUCUAGCUCUAAAGAAAGAAGCUCCGGGCCAUGUAACUCCAGCUCUCAAACCUGAGCUGGGAGCACAGGCCAGCCUAAAGGAUGAAGACCACACAACCUGACGGAGACAGCAUCUUACACAUCUCCGUACACUCAGUGCCUGGGGCAGUCCCUCGGACAUAGCAGGUAAGCAAUAAAUGUUACUUCUCUUUCUCCCCCUCUUUCUGUUCCUGUCAAGGGCCCUCCUUGGUUUCUCAGGCCUGGAUGUGGGUGACAACAGUCAUGUCACAUCAACACUCAUGCCUCAGGGGCUGGGAAGUCAUUGUCAGCUGUCUGCCUAGACUCUCAGAGGACUAAUUUCAUGGAUUUUGUUCCAGGCUUCUCUCGCCAGAACAGCAGACUCCCAGACUGACUCAAUCAAGUCAACUCCACUCAUAAAGUCAAAAAAAUAGAUUGGGUUGGAGAUAAGGGUCAAUCAGACUAUUCUCAACAAGUCAAAAUUUCAAGUCACUGGGGAAGUUUUUAAUCCAGUAAUCCCACUGCUCCAGUGAGUUUCUGAAAGCCUUAGUUUUGGUGUUGUCUGUUUCCAUUUAAACACAUUAGCAGCUGAAAUUGGCAAAAAUCAAACCCCUCCUACUGGGUUGUGUGGAAUACCAGAGGGAUACCUGUCAUUAAGCUCCCUUUGAGAGAAGGAAAGCAAACUAUUCAUAAAAUAAAAAUGUAUUUUCCAAACCACAAAAAUUAGGUGCAUCCCACGCUGGGCAGCAGCCCUGCCCCUGGGACUCAGGUGCCAUCACUCUCGCUAGAUCUUUCUCUCCAGAAGAAAUGAACUCCCAUGGAAAGAAGCUCGUCUUCUAGACCUGAAACUGUGUGACCAGCUGCUUGACACUCAAUCAAGGGCGUGGAGACCAUAAUUUAUUUACCUCCCAUCCUAGCACAGAGCCUUGCUUUAUCAAUAGAAGGGACUAGAGCGAUAAUCUUAAAUAUUUAAAACAAAGAAUUAAGAUUAGCCUUUAAGGGAUGUGCUAGACUGAUGGCAAUUGUGGCCCCAACCUGUUCAUACCUCCCUGUACCCAUGCCCUUGGUAGAGUCUUCCCACAUUGACUCUGGGUUUAAGUCCAUGGGACAGUAACAAAUGUGAUGGAAGCAGACUGGAAAAGUACUUGCACCUUGGGGCUUGUCCUCUUUCUGCCCUUGACUCAUGAGUUGCAUGUGAAAAAGCCCAGGCCAGCCAGCUGGGGGAUGAGGGAGCCCGUGGAGCAGAGACAAUGAGCCAUCCCGCUGAGCUGUCCUAUACCAGCUAUACCGAGUGAGCCCAGCCAAGAACAGCCUCACCUGGUCCCAAACAGCAGAACCACCCUGUUAAGCAUGAUCAACAUGCCUGGCCCACAGAACUGGAAGCUAAAUAAAUAGCUAUUCAGCCUUUAGCUUUGGAGCUAGUGUUAUGCAGCAAAAGCUGGUACAAAAGCUAAUUUUCUUCACAAAAAGAACUCCUACAUAUCUUUCACAUCCCAAAACUCUUCCAAAUCAAUAAGGACCUUAGUCUACAAAUACAUUCUCAUUCAUGAGCAAUUUUGUAUGCUCAGAUGUAUGCUUUCUUCUUCUUUUGCAAUGUCACAAUAUUUGAACAAUCUCCAUGACUCCUGCUGUGCUAACACCCAGGUUCUUUUCUCCGUCGUCGCCGUACUUGAUUAUCAGGAACACUGGACACACUUGAUCCUUUUCUGCUCCUUGAAAUACUCUGUCUGGCUUCAGGACCCCACAUUCUCUUGUUUCUCUCUACCUUACUGGCCCUUCUCCCUCUCCUAUGCUGGUUCCUUCUCUUCUCUCUCUCUCUUAAUGUUGGAGAGCUGCCAGCCUCAAUUCUCAGAACGCUUUCUGUCUAUACCCACUCUUGUGGUGAUCGAAUCCAGUCCGGCGGCUUUAAAAAAAGCUUCUCUUUUAUUUUGAUAAUUCACAAAUCUCCACCCUCAGAUCUAGUCUCUCUCCUAAACUUUAAAGGUAAAUAAUAGUAAUAAUCAUCUCAAAUUUAAUAUAUCCAAAACAGAUUUCCUGCCCUUCCUUUCUAAAACCUCUCUGCUGUCGGCAUUUCAGUUGAGGAAGACCAAAUGAUCUGGUGCUGAGGCCCAAAAUCUUAUAGUCACCCUUGAGUCCUCUCCUCUCACACCCAUGGCCAAUCCGACCCUGCUCACUGCUUCCCGUGUUACCACGUGGUCUUCUCUUAUCGCCUGCCCACAUUACUGCAACACCUCCUCACUGGUCUCCCCACUUCCGCUCUGGACCCUCAAGCCUGUUCUCCACCUGGCAGCCAGAAUGAGCUUUCUAUGUGUCAUAUCCUUUCACUCUCUGCUCAAGACCCUCCAGUGGUCCCCAUCUCAGAGUAAAGCCAAUGCCUUAUAAUGGCUUUCAAGGUUCUCAUGGUCGACCCUAAGAUGUCCACAUGGCUUGUUCCCUCACCUUUGUUCAAAUUUCACCUUCUCAGGUGCACCUGCCCGGCCACCUUCAACCACCGUCAAACUCUUCAUCUCUGCUUUUUUUUUCUCCAGAUUCCUUCCAGCAAACAUUCUGUAUAAUUUACUUAUUUUGUCUAUCGCUGGCCCCUCUACAAGGAAUUAGCUUCUUUGUUCACUGCUGUAUUCCUAGCAUCUAGAACAGUGGCACGUGAGCCUGCUUAAGAGUGUUAUUUGACUUUUCCUAUGCGUAAGGAGUGAAUGCACCGGCCAGUCAUGACUUCUAAGUAUUCUGAUUUCUGGGAGAGAGAUUUGCUCUCAGAGUUUACCGUCCGUAAGACCAGGAGCAGCCCCCAGCUUGUGGAAAACUUACAACCCUCUGCCAACUCCACUACUCCUAGGCUCACCCCCACCCUCAAAACAGACGGGAGCAAAUAAUAGAAAGUCUAUCACUGUGCCCAGAAGUCUAAUAAAAUCUACCGUGUCUAAGAUAUGAUACGCUGCACAUCAGCCAAGCCUUUACUCAUUCACACUUUCUGAUUAGAAGCAAAACUUAGCAAGUUUGAGCAGGUCAUCUAUUUCUGAAGACACAUUAUUAUUGACCGUGAAUGCUAAAUUAUACAGACUCCAGAAGAAUUAUUUUAGUCAUUGUCUAAAAAGUAUAUGGACAUAUUUGUUUGGCAUUUGCAUAAAGAAAUAUUAGAGGGAAACACUAGAAACUAUUCAAGCUGAGAGGGACAGGAUGGGGACAGGAACAGGAGUGAUACUUCCUGUGGAAAACCUUUUAAAUCAUUUUGGUUUUUGGACCACAGGAAUAUAGUUCCCAUUCAAAUAAGAAAAUGUAAC